rnacentral:rRNA from 1 species
AGACGUGGGGGGCGAGCGUUGUCCGGAAUUAUUGGGCGUAAAGGGCGUGUAGGCGGCCUGUCAAGUCGGCUGUGAAACCCCCCGGCUCAACCGGGGGCCUGCAGUCGAAACUGGCGGGCUUGAGUGCAGGAGAGGAGGGUGGAAUUCCUGGUGUAGCGGUGAAAUGCGUAGAUAUCAGGAGGAACACCGGUGGCGAAGGCGACCUUCUGGCCUGUUACUGACGCUGAGGCGCGAAAGCUAGGGGAGCGAACAGGAUUAGAUACCCUGGUAGUCCUAGCCGUAAACGCUGGGUACUAGGUGUAGGCGGUUUAAAUACUGUCUGUGCCGUAGUUAACGCAUUAAGUACCCCGCCUGGGGAGUACGGCCGCAAGGUUGAA